UACGUAGGGUGCGAGCGUUAAUCGGAAUUACUGGGCGUAAAGUGUGCGCAGGUGGCUUCGCAAGUCGAGUGUGAAAUCCCCGGGCUUAACCUGGGAAUUGCGCUCGAAACUACGGAGCUGGAGUAUGGCAGAGGGAGGUGGAAUUCCACGUGUAGCGGUGAAAUGCGUAGAGAUGUGGAGGAACACCGAUGGCGAAGGCAGCCUCCUGGGCCAAUACUGACGCUCAUGCACGAAAGCGUGGGGAGCAAACAGG
rnacentral:rRNA from 1 species